rnacentral:rRNA from 1 species
UUGACCUCGGAUCAGGUAGGAAUACCCGCUGAACUUAAGCAUAUCAAUAAGCGGAGGAAAAGAAACCAACAGGGAUUGCCUCAGUAACGGCGAGUGAAGCGGCAACAGCUCAAAUUUGAAAUCUGGCCUAGCCCGAGUUGUAAUUUGCAGAGGAUGCUUCUGGUGCGGCGCUGUCCAAGUCCCCUGGAACGGGGCGCCACAGAGGGUGAGAGCCCCGUCUGGUCAGCCGCCAAGCCUGUGUGAAGCUCCUUCGACGAGUCGAGUAGUUUGGGAAUGCUGCUCUAAACGGGAGGUAGACCCCUUCUAAAGCUAAAUAUUGGCCAGAGACCGAUAGCGCACAAGUAGAGUGAUCGAAAGAUGAAAAGCACUUUGAAAAGAGGGUUAAACAGUACGUGAAAUUGUUAAAAGGGAAGCGCUUGUGACCAGACGUGCGCCGGGCGUUCAGCGGGCGUUCUCGCCCGUGUACUCGUCCCGGCGCAGGCCAGCGUCGGUUCGGAUGGGGGGACAAAGGCGUCGGGAAUGUAUCUCCCUCGGGAGUGUUAUAGACCGAUGUGCCAUGCCCCCGUCUGGACCGAGGUUCGCGCUCUGCAAGGACGCUGGCAUAAUGGUCCCCAGCGGCCCGUCUUGAAACACGGACCAAGGAGUCGAGGUUUUGUGCGAGUGUUUGGGUGUCAAGCCCGCACGCGUAAUGAAAGUGAACGUAGGUGGGAGCUUCGGCGCACCACCGACCGAUCCUGAUGUUCUCGGAUGGAUUUGAGUAGGAGCACAGGGCCUCGGACCCGAAAGAUGGUGAACUAUACUUGGAUAGGGUGAAGCCAGAGGAAACUCUGGUGGAGGCUCGCAGCGGUUCUGACGUGCAAAUCGAUCGUCAAAUCUGAGUAUGGGGGCGAAAGACUAAUCGAACCAUCUAGUAGCUGGUUACCGCCGAAGUUUCCCUCAGGAUAGCAGUGUUGGUCUCAGUUUUAUGAGGUAAAGCGAAUGAUUAGGGACUCGGGGGCGCUAUAUUGCCUUCAUCCAUUCUCAAACUUUAAAUAUGUAAGAAGCCCUUGUUGCUUAGUUGAACGUGGGCCUUCGAAUGCAGCAACACUAGUGGGCCAUUUUUGGUAAGCAGAACUGGCGAUGUGGGAUGAACCAUACGGGGGGUUAAGGUGCCGGAGUGGACGCUCAUCAGACACCACAAAAGGUGUUAGCACAUCUUGACAGCAGGACGGUGGCCAUGGAAGUCGGAAUCCGCUAAGGAC